GCUGCCCUCGGGCCUGGCUCGCCCGCGGGCGGAUGGCUCCGGGUCUCUGCUGCUGAGGAUGUGGCUGCCGGGCGGAGGUCGUCCACUCCCCUGGGCCUUUCUCCGCGAGCCCUCCCACGCCGCCCGCUCCUCUCCCGGGGCGAAGGGCGGGGACGAGGCGCGCCGAAGCCCCGAGCUGAAGAGAAGGGUGGGGGCAUGAGGGCGCUGGAGUGAGGAACAGAUUGGAGCCUUCCCACUUCCUCUCCAAUCUCAGCCCCCGGGAGGAGGGGUGAGGCCCUCGAGGGGGCCCGGAGUUAAGGAGGAAUAGACCGUUUCUCUCUCUCCUGUCUCCCCCGCCUCUGCCCGUCUUCCCUCUAAGCCGGCCUCUAGGUGCAGAGGCUGACGUCCAGGAUGGGGACCGGGGAAGCCUCUGGAGGGUAUAUCCGGGAAGGCACCAAGGCUGAAAAAGAUGCAGUCUAGCACCUCAGUUAAGAAUAUGGACUCUAAAGUCAGACUGCCAGGCUUCAAAUUCCAGUUCUGCGACCUCAGCAAAGUUACUUAACCAAGCUCUCAGUGCCUUGUUUUCUUCAUCUGUAAAAUGAGGAUGACGUCACAGCAUUGUUGAGAGAAUUAAUACAGGCUCCAGACUUGUGAAUGGAGAAGUGUUGAGGUGACCCCAGCUCCAGCCACCAGCUGACGACAACCAUACCGGAGAUCCUGAGAGCUGCCUAGCUGACCCCAGGCACCCCCCAGACUUCAUGUAAGCUGUUUGAAGCCGAGGACUUUGUCUGUUUUGUUCACUCCCAAUAGAUUCAGCACUUAGAAGAAUGCCAGGCAGGCUUUCCCCACCAACCAAGAUGGAAUAACAGGGAAAAGACAUACCCUUCUAUCUUCAAUAAUUGGAAACCCAGACAAAGUUUAUGAAACGCUGGUUUUCAAGACAUAGGACAUCAGACAAUCAAGGACAGUAAACACUGAGAUGGGAAACAAACAAGGUGAGUACUGCAAUUGCCCAACAUUACUAGCUGGAAAGAGUUUCCCGACCAUGGCAGAGGGAGGAGGAUCCUUUGAGGUUCUGUGGUGUCCCUGAGUUGAGGAGACAAAGUUGAAAUUCCAGAGUGGUCAAGGCAGCUGGAGUUUGUAGAGCAGAGUACCAGAAAGAAAAUAGAUGCACAGAGAGAACCUCAGAGAUCUGCAAAAGAUCUCAGCUCUUCAGCUGUGCACCUAUCAGUACAUGCAUGUGACAAAGCACCCCAAGGCCAGGGGAAGAAUCACCUGAAAGUAUGAAGAGAAGAAUACUUGGAGCAUAUACAAACCAGGAAUAAUUUCAGUUCUCACCAGCCAAAUUGGAAGACCCCAUAGAUAACAGGCAUUAGGUAGAGCAGGGGUCCCCAACCUCCAGGGGCACUGACCAGUACUGUUCAUGGCCUGUUAGGAACUGGGCUGCACAGCAGGAGGUGAGCGGCAGGCUAGCCAGCAAACCUUCAUCUGUAUUUAUAGCUCCCAUCACUUGCAUUACUCCCCAUCACUCCCCAUCACUUGCAUUACCACCUGAGCUCCACCUCCUCUCAGAUCAGCAGCAGCAUUAGAUUCUCAUAGGAGUGUGAACCCUACUGUGAACUGCACAUGCAAGGGAUCUAGGUUGUGCACUGUUUAUGAGAAUCUAAUGCCUGAUGAUCUGAGGUGCAGCUGAGGCAGCAUAGCUAGGAGGUAGGUAUUUUGUUGCUGGGGACUCAUAUCAAAACCCUAUCAGUGAGUGGCAAGUGACAAUUAAGCUGCAUCUGGUGGCAGACUUUAUAGAGGCAAGUGAGUCAAUGUAUUUCAAUUGCACAGCUCUAUCUGGUGGCAAGUUUUAAGUCAGAAUCUGACACUUAAUUUAGUCUGUGCAUGGCCUGCCCAUUAUUUUAUUUACCACUUCUGUCUGUGCCUCUUUGCUGCACUGAACACUUGUCUCAGUCACAGUUUUGGUAAGCCCACAAGCUAACCCUAGCUAAAAUGAGUAAAAAGCAAACGACACUGGAGAGCUUCUUUGAAAAGUCAGAGAGACCCAAUGAUGAGACAGCAGAAGACUCUUAAGACUGCCAACAAAAAGAAAGCUGCACUUAAAAGAAAAUACCAGACUGGGCGUGGUGGCUCACACCUGUAAUCCUAGCACUUUGGGAGGCUGAAGCAGGUGGAUCCCUUGAGGCCAGGAGUUUGAGACCAGCCAAGCCAACAUGGUGAAACCCAUGUUUCUAAAAAAAAAAAAAAAAAAAAUUAGCCGGGAAUGGUGGUGCGUGCCUGUAAUCUGAGCUACUCAGGAGGCUGAGGCAGGAGAAUCUCUUGAACCCAGGAGGCAGAGGUUGCAGUGAGCUGAGACUGUGCCACUGCACUCCACUCCAGCCUGGGUGCCAGACCAAGACUCUGUCUCAGAAAAAAAAAAAAGAAAAUGCCAAAAGUUCUACUUAAGUUAUGGGUUAAUUGCAACAGGUGAUUCACAUUCUCUAAGCCCACUUUGUAUAUUAUGUGCUGACCCACUAUUCAAGGAAGCCAUGAAAACUUCAAAACUGCUUCACCACCUGGAGACCAAGCACCCUGCAUUAAAAGACAAGCCUUUGGAGUUUUUCUAAAGAAAAAACAUGAACACAGAGAACAGAAGUAAUUAUUGAAGGCCACUACUUCAUUAAGUGUGUCUGUACUGAGAGCAUCGUUCCUAGUGGCUAACCACGUUAUUAGGCUAAGAAGCCCUUUAGUAUUGGUGAAGAGUUGAUCCUGCCUGCUGCUAAGGACAUUUGUCAUGAACUUUUAGGAGAGGCUGCUGUUCAAAAGGUGGCACAUGUUCCUCUUUCAGCUAACACCAUAACUAGAAGAAUGGAUGAAAUAGCAGAGAAUAUUGAGGCACAAUUGUUAGAGAGGAUUAAUGAGUCACCGUGCUACACAAUCCACAAAAGGGUUUUGUCCCAGAAAUAGACUCAUACAUAUAUGAUCAGUGAUUUUCAACAGUGGUACAAAUGCAAGUCAGCGCAGAAAAAAUAAUCUCUUCAACAAAUGGUGCAGGAACAAUUGGAUAUCCAUAAAAUGAACUCGGAUCCACGCUUUGCACCAUAUGCAAAAAUUGACUCAAAAUAGGUAUAGGUCCUAGACCUAAAUGUAACAACCUGAAACUCUAAAAUUUCUCAGGAAAAAAAUGGGAUAAAAUCUUUGUGGUCUUGGAUUAGGCAAAGAUAUUUUCUUGUGUUUGUGGGUAAAGAAACCUUUAAUGAGGGUUCAAGGUGUAAGAGGAGGACCUUGUAGAGAGCCAGCGCUUAGCCCCAGCCUCCUCAUAUGCACAUGGCUCUGUAGAGGUUCUCCAGACAGUGCUGCUGCUGCUGUUUCGAGCCUUAUCUCCUCUGUGCUCCUCACAAGUGUCGUUAACAGCGGGCAGCUCCUGGCAGCACAAGGGACAGGGAUUUGUCUUGCUUAGCCGGGGCAAAAUGCAGUUAGAAUGGAAAAGCUAAUGGCAAGGCAUCCCAACAACAGCCUCCUCCUCCUCAAGCACAUGGGGCACUUGUGUGUGCCUCUCAGCCUGAGAGCUCCUGAUGACUGUCCUGGGGAGGUUCCCAACCACACUGUCUUGGCAGCUGGUGGAGGCAGGUGGUGAUUCCAAUUUACUGCCAUCCCCGAGUCUUCAAAAUCCAUCCUAUUGAAAAGUGAUCUGGUGAGCUCCAGCAGCAUGUGGGUUAGGGUCUCCUGCUUGGGGUUCAAGAGCUUGCAGUCCUGUUCAUUGAAAUAGGCUGUCAUGGCUGCUCAGCUCUCUGACAUAUCUCUCAGACUGGCAAAGAUAUUAGGUCUGAUACCAAAAGUACAAUCCAUAGAAGAAAAAGGAUGGAUACAUUGGACUUCAUUAAAAUUAAGAAUGUUUUCUCCUUGAAAAAUAAUGUUAAGAGAAUAAGAAGAUAAGCCACAAACUUGGAAAAAAAGUAAUUGUAAAUUACAUAUCUGAUAAAGUACUUGUACCCAAAAUAUGCACAAGAAUCUCAAAACUCAAUAAUAAGAAAACAAUCCAAUUUAAGAAAUUAUUUUAACAUACAUUUUACAAAAGAGGAUAUAUAGAUAGCAAAUAAGCCCACAAAAAGAUAUUGAAUAUUAUUGACCAUUGGGAAAAUGCAAAUUAAAACAAAAUGAGAUACCAUUACACACCUAUUAGAAUGUCUAAUAUUGAGAAGACUAAUCAUACUAACUGAUGAGGAUUUGGAGCAACUGGAACUCUCAAACCCUGCUGAUAGAUAAAUGCACAACCACUUUGGAACAGUUUGGUAGUUUUUUAAAAAGUUAAACAUACAUCUGCCUUAUGCCCCAGCCAUACAAUUUUUAGACAUUUCUCAAGGAAAAUGAAAGCAUAUGUUCAUUCAGAGAUACACAUGCAUAUUCAUUGCAGCUUUAUUUGUAACAGCCAAAAACUGGAAACAGCCCAAAUGUCCAGCAACAAAAGAAUGGAUAAACAAAUUGUGGUAUAUUUACUACCUAGCAGUUGAAAGAAAUAAACCUCUGACACACACAAGCUGGAUUAAAAAAGAAGAGGAAAUGAAUUAUUGAUACAUAUAAUAAAGAUUACUCUCAAAAUAAUUAUGGUAAGUCAAAGAAGUCAGACCAUGCUCCCUAAGAGUAUAUACUUCAUGAUUCAAUUUCUGUACAAUUCUAUAAAAUGCAAAUUAAUAUAUGAUAACAAAAAGUGAUUGCCUGGAAAUGGUGAGAGGACAGAGGGGCCAGAAUCAGCCAGGAUUACAAAGAUGCACAAGGAAACUUUUGAGGGUGGUGGAUAUCUUGAGUGUGGUGAUAGUUUUACAGUUGUAUGCCUAUGUUAGAAGCUAUCAAAUUGUACACUUUAAGUAUGUACACUUUGUUGUAUAUUAAUUAUGCCUUAAUAAAGUUAUUAUAAAAAGUAGUUCCAGGCAAUACUAGACACUCAAUAAACAUUUGUAAACUAGUCGUUGACUUUCUUGGACUGUGACUUGUUAGCAGUUAGGGAUUGAUUAUUCUGUACAUGUUUAUGUAAUACCUGGCAAAAUACCAUGCUGGAGUAAGUGCUCAAUAAAUGCUAUUUUAAGAAUGUUAUCAGUCAAGCCUGGUGGCUUAUGCCUGUAAUCCCAGCACUUUGGGAGGCCGAGGUGGGUGGAUCACCUGAGGUCAGGAGUUUGAGACCAGCCUGGCCAACAUGGUGAAACCCUGUCUCUACUAAAAAUACAAAAAAUUAGCU
rnacentral:lncRNA from 1 species